UUUGGUUAAGUUAGAAAGGGCGCACGGUGGAUGCCUUGACACUAGGAGUCGAUGAAGGACGGGACUAACGCCGAUAUGCUUCGGGGAGCUGUAAGUAAGCUUUGAUCCGAAGAUUUCCGAAUGGGGAAACCCACCAUACGUAAUGGUAUGGUAUCCUUAUCUGAAUACAUAGGGUAAGGAAGACAGACCCAGGGAACUGAAACAUCUAAGUACCUGGAGGAAGAGAAAGCAAAUGCGAUUUCCUGAGUAGCGGCGAGCGAAACGGAACAUAGCCCAAACCAAGAGGCUUGCCUCUUGGGGUUGUAGGACAUUCUAUACGGAGUUACAAAGGAACGAGGUAGACGAAGCGACCUGGAAAGGUCCGUCGUAGAGGGUAACAACCCCGUAGUCGAAACUUCGUUCUCUCUUGAAUGUAUCCUGAGUACGGCGGAACACGUGAAAUUCCGUCGGAAUCUGGGAGGACCAUCUCCCAAGGCUAAAUACUCCCUAGUGAUCGAUAGUGAACCAGUACCGUGAGGGAAAGGUGAAAAGCACCCCGGAAGGGGAGUGAAAGAGAUCCUGAAACCGUGUGCCUACAAAUAGUCAGAGCCCGUUAACGGGUGAUGGCGUGCCUUUUGUAGAAUGAACCGGCGAGUUACGAUCCCGUGCGAGGUUAAGCUGAAGAGGCGGAGCCGCAGCGAAAGCGAGUCUGAAUAGGGCGUUUAGUACGUGGUCGUAGACCCGAAACCAGGUGAUCUACCCAUGUCCAGGGUGAAGUUCAGGUAACACUGAAUGGAGGCCCGAACCCACGCACGUUGAAAAGUGCGGGGAUGAGGUGUGGGUAGCGGAGAAAUUCCAAUCGAACCUGGAGAUAGCUGGUUCUCCCCGAAAUAGCUUUAGGGCUAGCCUUAAGUGUAAGAGUCUUGGAGGUAGAGCACUGAUUGGACUAGGGGUCCUCAUCGGAUUACCGAAUUCAGUCAAACUCCGAAUGCCAAUGACUUAUCCUUAGGAGUCAGACUGCGAGUGAUAAGAUCCGUAGUCAAAAGGGAAACAGCCCAGACCGCCAGCUAAGGUCCCAAAGUGUGUAUUAAGUGGAAAAGGAUGUGGAGUUGCUUAGACAACUAGGAUGUUGGCUUAGAAGCAGCCACCAUUUAAAGAGUGCGUAAUAGCUCACUAGUCGAGUGACUCUGCGCCGAAAAUGUACCGGGGCUAAAUACACCACCGAAGCUGCGGAUUGAUACCGAAUGGUAUCAGUGGUAGGGGAGCGUUCUAAGGACAGUGAAGUCAGACCGGAAGGACUGGUGGAGUGCUUAGAAGUGAGAAUGCCGGUAUGAGUAGCGAAAGACGGGUGAGAAUCCCGUCCACCGAAUGCCUAAGGUUUCCUGAGGAAGGCUCGUCCGCUCAGGGUUAGUCAGGACCUAAGCCGAGGCCGACAGGCGUAGGCGAUGGACAACAGGUUGAUAUUCCUGUACCACCUCUUUAUCGUUUGAGCAAUGGAGGGACGCAGAAGGAUAGAAGAAGCGUGCGAUUGGUUGUGCACGUCCAAGCAGUUAGGCUGAUAAGUAGGCAAAUCCGCUUAUCGUAAAGGCUGAGCUGUGAUGGGGAAGCUCCUUAUGGAGCGAAGUCUUUGAUUCCCCGCUGCCAAGAAAAGCUUCUAGCGAGAUAAAAGGUGCCUGUACCGCAAACCGACACAGGUAGGCGAGGAGAGAAUCCUAAGGUGUGCGAGAGAACUCUGGUUAAGGAACUCGGCAAAAUGACCCCGUAACUUCGGGAGAAGGGGUGCUUUCUUAACGGAAAGCCGCAGUGAAUAGGCCCAAGCGACUGUUUAGCAAAAACACAGCUCUCUGCGAAGCCGUAAGGCGAAGUAUAGGGGGUGACACCUGCCCGGUGCUGGAAGGUUAAGGAGAGGGGUUAGCGUAAGCGAAGCUCUGAACUGAAGCCCCAGUAAACGGCGGCCGUAACUAUAACGGUCCUAAGGUAGCGAAAUUCCUUGUCGGGUAAGUUCCGACCCGCACGAAAGGUGUAACGAUUUGGGCACUGUCUCAACCAGAGACUCGGUGAAAUUAUAGUACCUGUGAAGAUGCAGGUUACCCGCGACAGGACGGAAAGACCCCGUGGAGCUUUACUGUAGCCUGAUAUUGAAUUUUGGUACAGUUUGUACAGGAUAGGCGGGAGCCUUUGAAACCGGAGCGCUAGCUUCGGUGGAGGCGCUGGUGGGAUACCGCCCUGACUGUAUUGAAAUUCUAACCUACGGGUCUUAUCGACCCGGGAGACAGUGUCAGGUGGGCAGUUUGACUGGGGCGGUCGCCUCCUCAAGUGUAACGGAGGCGCCCAAAGGUUCCCUCAGAAUGGUUGGAAAUCAUUCGUAGAGUGCAAAGGCAUAAGGGAGCUUGACUGCGAGACCUACAAGUCGAGCAGGGACGAAAGUCGGGCUUAGUGAUCCGGUGGUUCCGCAUGGAAGGGCCAUCGCUCAACGGAUAAAAGCUACCCCGGGGAUAACAGGCUUAUCUCCCCCAAGAGUCCACAUCGACGGGGAGGUUUGGCACCUCGAUGUCGGCUCAUCGCAUCCUGGGGCUGUAGUCGGUCCCAAGGGUUGGGCUGUUCGCCCAUUAAAGCGGUACGCGAGCUGGGUUCAGAACGUCGUGAGACAGUUCGGUCCCUAUCCGUCGUGGGCGUAGGAAAUUUGAGAGGAGCUGUCCUUAGUACGAGAGGACCGGGAUGGACGCACCGCUGGUGUACCAGUUGUUCUGCCAAGGGCAUAGCUGGGUAGCUAUGUGCGGAAGGGAUAAGUGCUGAAAGCAUCUAAGCAUGAAGCCCCCCUCAAGAUGAGAUUUCCCAUAGCGUAAGCUAGUAAGAUCCCUGAAAGAUGAUCAGGUUGAUAGGUUCGAGGUGGAAGCAUGGUGACAUGUGGAGCUGACGAAUACUAAUAGAUCGAGGACUUAACCAUAUAA
rnacentral:rRNA from 1 species